UGCGUUUCUCCGGUGUUGAGUUUCUUCACCAGAUGAUGCUGUGGCGGCGCGCAGCAGCACACAGCAGCCUUUGCGUGAGAUGAAGUGACGCACAGCAGCGGCAGAGAUGAUCCGCACCGCUGGAUCUGAGCGUCCGUCCACGGUGGAAUCAUGAGGUCCGCAGUAGUAGCAGCAAAUACCGAGUGAGGCUGAAAUGACGGGACCGCUACGUUGUUUCCAAGCGCAUUCCGCAGCAUCUGGUUCUCGGUGAGGAAGCGGCGCGUCGUCGUCAGGAAACCUUCCUGGACAUGGACGGAGGGACUGCGGAACCGGGGGAUGACGGGAGCGAGGCAGCGGCCGCCGGCCUCUGUCUGCAGCUAGACUUCGGGGACACCGAUUCAGCCAGGAAGGCUCAAAUAGCAGAGAUGCCGUCCCCAUUUGGAGCAGGCCAAGCUCAUGAGAAGAAGAUUGGUCACAGGAGGGUCGAUGCCUCUGGAGAAACAACAUAUAAGAAGACCACCUCCUCUGCCUUGAAAGGGGCUAUCCAGUUGGGUAUUGGAUACACUGUCGGUAAUCUCAGCUCCAAGCCUGAGAGAGAUGUUCUCAUGCAGGAUUUCUACGUGGUUGAAAGCAUCUUCUUCCCCAGUGAAGGCAGCAACCUCACACCAGCCCACCACUUCCCAGACUUCAGGUUUAAAACCUACGCCCCUGUGGCCUUUCGCUACUUCAGAGAGCUGUUUGGGAUCCGACCAGAUGACUACCUGUAUUCUCUAUGUAAUGAGCCACUGAUUGAAUUGACGAAUCCAGGAGCGAGUGGAUCCAUAUUCUACGUAACCCGUGAUGAUGAGUUCAUCAUCAAAACUGUCCAACACAAGGAAGCUGAGUUUCUACAGAAAUUGCUCCCUGGAUACUACAUGAAUUUGAACCAGAACCCCCGGACUUUGCUGCCCAAAUUCUUUGGCCUCUAUUGCGUCCAGUGUGGCGGCAAGAACAUCAGAAUUGUUGUAAUGAACAAUAUCUUACCGCGCUCUGUUCGCAUGCACCUUAAGUUCGACUUGAAGGGCUCCACAUACAAGAGACGAGCGUCCAAGAAGGAAAGGGAGAAGUCCAAACCCACUUUUAAAGACCUGGACUUUCUGAAUGAUGUCCCUGAAGGCCUCACUCUGGACCAGGACACGUUCAGUGCUUUGGUCAAAACCCUACAAAGAGACUGUCUGGUUCUGGAGAGUUUUAAGAUCAUGGACUACAGCUUACUGCUUGGAAUCCACAACAAGACCCAAGCAGAGAGAGAGCAGCAGUCACAGGGUUCACCUGCAGGAGGUGGAGAUGAAAAGAAGCCUGCAGGGCAGAGAGCCUUGUACACCACCGCCAUGGAGUCCAUACAGGGAGGCUCCACAUGCAGGGACACGCUGGACCACGACGACACUAUGGGCGGUAUUCCAGCUGUAGGAAGUAAAGGAGAGCGCCUCCUGCUGUUCAUUGGAAUCAUUGACAUUCUGCAGUCCUACAGACUGAUUAAGAAAUUGGAGCACUCUUGGAAAUCUCUCAUCCAUGAUGGGGACACAGUGUCGGUUCAUAGACCGAGUUUCUAUGCUGAGAGGUUCUACAAGUUCUGCAGCACAAUUGUCUUCAGGAAGAGCAACUCACUGCGAUCGUCUCCGUCUAAGAGAGGACGAGGGGUGCUCUUGUCCAAGUCCAGUGCUGGAGCCAGCUCAACUGGGCAUCGUCCUUCACUCACUGAAGAUAGGCAAGAAGACCUGGACAACUUGGAGAACCUAAGAGGAGCUCGCAGCUUCCCCAUGCUCGAGGACAAUGGGAGGGAGCCACCCUGCACGCCUCCUUCAUUUGAAGAUGCUACCACAGCAUCCAUUGCUACCACUCUAUCCUCCAACAACUCCCUACCGACCACCCCAUUCGAUACGCCGGAGCACCCACGCUACAGGAGACAAAUGCAUUCCCCAAGCAUGGCCAGGUCACAAAAAGAGGUAGUUGAGAUUCACGGUGAAAGACAGGACACCAUCACAGUGGAGGUGGAGCUCAGUAAAAUCCCAAAGAGCACAGAGCUCACACAAAUGACAGAAAAAACAUCCCCCAGCCAUCUAUCACCUGAUCACCUGCCUCGAAUCAACACUUCAUCCACUCCUGCCUCUCUCAGUCCAUCCUCUGCAUAUUCCUCCGCUACCCUUCCUCCUUCCUUUGCGUCCUCCACCGCUCAGCCUACUGGCCAGUCCUCCUCCAACACACUUUCUUCAUCCAUCCGUCCAUCCACCAAGCCGCUCACCUCUCCUACAGCAGCUCAGUCUUCCACUCUUUCUUCUCCGGUCUCUCAUCCAGCUCCACCCUCCACACGUCCCACUUCAACUCCAAGCAGCUCCACCCUCCCUCCCGCCUCCGCAUUCACUCCUAUCUGCCCGGCAUCUCCUCACUCCUCCACCCAGAGCUCCUCGCACCAUCUCCCCUCGACGCCCCCUGCCUCGGUCCCUCCGAGCCCUCAGGUGCCUCAGCAGGCGGCCCAAACGUCGUGCAAUCAGCUGUCUGUGUCCAGCAGCCACAACUCAUUGGACGGGGAGGUGCAGGUUUCCGACAUAUACUUUUGGCCCAGUCAGGACAGCGUGGUAGAGUUAUGAUGCAGCCUCAGGAGGAUCGGAGCUGGGUGUACUCUCCUCUACACUGCAGCUCGGAGUCCAGAAGGGGCUCGGAUGGGGAGAGUGAGACAUAACUGACAGUGGAGACAGCAGUGAAGGGUGGAGCCAGAGGCUGUCUCCAUGUACAAUGUCGACAGGUUUUAAUUCUAAAGCCACCAGGACACGAUGAAGAUCUAAUCGCUGGUUACCCACGCUGCAUGUGGGAGCUUGCUUUGCCAACUGCAACAAAAACUAUAUGAAUGAACUUUGGGAGGAAGCAUUCAAGUAUAAAAGUGUUAAACAAUGCAUCCAGCAAACAUACUGACACGUUAUCAAACUGUUGUACAAAACAAUUACCAAGCAACAGUUCAGGACAGUCUGACUGACAUCAGGUGGAAAAGCUAAAGUGGUACAAUCCUCUGCGUGGCACUGUGAAUCUUUAUGGCGUUUCUUCAUAACAAGCCUGGCAUGGCGAUGACAUCAUCAGUACAAACUAAUACCUCACACAUAAACCUUGAUUAAACUCACACAGCUAAUCACAAAACAAAGUUUUAAAUUCUAGUGCCGAGUCCGAAGUUUCAGAACAUAGCAAACAUGCGUCCAUUUAUUUUCUGCAACUUUGUUUCAGAGUUGGGUUGCCAUGGCAGCAGGCUAAGCUAGGUUGUCCAGACAUUCCUCUCCCCAGCUCAGGCUAUGCAAUUUGGACUUUUAAAUUACGAUUUUUUUUUUUAUUCUUGACUCAACUUGAGUGAACUACUCACAUAUUUAUUUUCCACUAGGGGCAUGUCAGAGCUGUGUGUACUUUUAUUUUAGGACUUUAUAAAUGUACAUGUGGCAGAAGUCUUUGAAACUGUGUAUGUUUUGUUAUUUUGUCAUCAGUUGUUGGUUGAAAACACACUCGAACACAGUUAAUGUUUUGUGUGCUGUGUAUACACGGUGUUCUGUUUCUUCCAGUGGUGUGUGGUGGUCCACUUUACGAUUUUCGAUCUGACAAUGAACGCUUGUGUUCAAAUUGCCUUACUGACAGACUCAUUAUUGUAACCAUUUUUGAUAUUUUCUGGUCACAUGUAAUCAUUUUGCAAAAGACAAACAAAAAAAUGCUGAGAAAUACAAACAUGCAAAAUAUUUUAUUGUGAGUAAACACCAAAUAUCUGAAGUUAAAACAGUAUAUAUAUAUAUAUAUAUAUAUAUAUAUAUAGUACUAAUGCAUUUAUAACUUUAAAGAAUUUAGGACGAGAAGAUCAAGAGGGAGUAAAGGAAAAAAUGAAUGAAAUUAUCUUUUGUAAAUUGUCGAUAAACUGUGUAUGUGCUACAGCACAUGCAUGUCAGUCUGUGCGUGCCCUUAUGUCUCUGUGUGUGCAUGUGUUUGCAUGCAUUUGACAUGGGAUUGAGGGACAUAUGAGUCUGAGAUUUUCUUUGACUUAUAUCCCUUCUGCCUAUUUGUCAGAUUGUCAAAAGGUGUUGUUAUAGGCCAUGAAAGUUUGAACCAGCUAUAAGCAUGUUGGCUGUGUGAGAAAAACGAAAUGCAGGUGUCCCAGUCUUUAAUGACACUGGAUUAAUCAUAAAAUAACAAAUGAGCAGACCUAAACUUAAACAUCCUCAGUUUUAUAAACAGUUUACAAAAAAAAGAAAGGCAGACAGUACCUUCCUUUUUCCAUGUAUGGUGAUAGAGGAUUUACCAUACUAAGACUUCCUGACUGUGUCCAAAACCACCACUGUACCAUAUUACUGUAUUGUUUGAGUCUGCUGAAGUUAACCUGCCUGUUUGUAGGCAACAGUGUUUGUAGCUGAUCACUGUGUAAAAGAUAAUAAAAAUUAUAUUGUAUAAAAAAUA